CUGCAGCUCGAGUGGUGAUCACUAUUAUUGGGCCUAAAACGUCCGUAGCCGGUCUUAUAAAUGCCUGGGUAAAUCGUGCCGCUUAACGGUACGAAUUCCGGGUAGACUGUAAGACUUGAGACCGGGUGAGGCUAGAGGUACUCCUGGGGUAGAGGUGAAAUUCUGUAAUCCUGGGGGGACCACCAGUGGCGAAGGCGUCUAGCUAGAACGGGUCUGACGGUGAGGAACGAAGCCCUGGGGCGCAAACCGGAUUAGAUACCCGAGUAGUCC
rnacentral:rRNA from 1 species